GGGGUAUAGCGCAGUUGGCUAGCGCGCCUGACUGGCAGUCAGGAGGUCGAGGGUUCAAGUCCCUCUAUCUCC
rnacentral:tRNA from 1 species